UCCGGGGUGGACAAGGCUACCCAGGUCUCACACACAGAGACACAGAGACACAGACAGAGUGGACAAGCCUAACCAGGUCUCACACACAGAGACACAGAGACACAGACAGAGUGGACAAGCCUAACCAGGUCUCACACACAGAGACACAGAGACAGACAGAGUGGACAAGCCUAACCAGGUCUCACACACAGAGACACAGACAGAGUGGACAAGCCUAACCAGGUCUCACACACAGAGACACAGACAGAGUGGACAAGCCUAACCAGGUCUCACACACAGAGACACAGACAGAGUGGACAAGCCUAACCAGGUCUCACACACAGAGACACAGAGACACAGACAGUGUGGACAAGCCUGCUCAGGUCACACGUUAAGGUUACAUUGCUGUGUGUCUUCUAUUGAAAAUAACUGAGGUAGUUUAUUCGCCUUCGAGUCGACCUGGGUACAGGAAGGGUGUACGGAUAAGUAGUUUAGGUCAAGAGACUGUAUAAAAUCUUCGCAAUGCGCUCGUUAGCAUGUGGUUCACAUUCUCUACGGGAUUUUACAUGUACUUAUUGGCAUUGCUAACUUUUUGGUGGACUGAGGCUGUGAGGUUAGAAAAUAGUGCCCCUUGUGUUCAGUGGCGGUAUUACAGAACAUCCCGGAAUGACAGUGUGGAGACAGCUCAAACGUAACAUACACUAACAACCAUUAUACGUUUCAUAAUGACCGUGAUAAACAGUCUCCUACAGCCUUUCAAUUGAACUGCAUACUGUAUAACACGGUAAUACUGGUCUGUGUGUUGUG